AACCAGCACCUCAAGUGGUCAGGAUGAUUAUUGGGCCUAAAGCAUCCGUAGCCUGCUCUGUUAGUUUUCGGUUAAAUCCAUGUGCUCAACACAUGGGCUGCCGAAAAUACUGCAGAGCUAGGGAGUGGGAGAGGUAGACGGUACUCAGUAGGAAGGGGUAAAAUCCUUUGAUCUAUUGAUGACCACCUGUGGCGAAGGCGGUCUACCAGAACACGUUCGACGGUGAGGGAUGAAAGCUGGGGGAGCAAAC
rnacentral:rRNA from 1 species